AGUCGAACGAACUUCCGUUAAUUGAUUAUGACGUACUUGUACUGAUGGAGAUUUUAACACGAAGUGAGUGGGGAACGGGGGAGUAACACGUGGGUAACCUGCCCAGAAGUAGGGGAUAACACCUGGAAACAGAUGCUAAUUCCGUAUAACAGAGAAAACCGCAUGGUUUUCUUUUAAAAAAUGGCUCUGCUAUCACUUCUGGAUGGACCCGCGGCGUAUUAGCUAGUUGGUGAGGUAAAGGCUCACCAAGGCAGUGAUACGUAGCCGACCUGAGAGGGUAAUCGGCCACAUGG
rnacentral:rRNA from 1 species